UGGGGUCUAGCUCAAUGGUAGAGCACUUGCCUGGCAUGCAUGAGGCUCUGGGUUCCAUCCCCAAUACCUCUU
rnacentral:tRNA from 1 species